rnacentral:rRNA from 1 species
CUUGGUCAUUUAGAGGAAGUAAAAGUCGUAACAAGGUCUCCGUUGGUGAACCAGCGGAGGGAUCAUUACAGAGUUGCAAAACUCCCAACCCUUUGUGAACGAACCUACCAGUUGCCUCGGCGGCGAGCCUUUCAGGCGGACCGCCGAAGGAAUACAAACUCUUUGCAUUAUAGUAUCUCUGAUUACUUAUUCAAUAAGUUAAAACUUUCAACAACGGAUCUCUUGGUUCUGGCAUCGAUGAAGAACGCAGCGAAAUGCGAUAAGUAAUGUGGAUUGCGGAAUUCAGUGAAUCAUCGAAUCUUUGAACGCACAUUGCGCCCGCUAGUAUUCUGGCGGGCAUGCCUGUUCGAGCGUCAUUUCAACCAUCAAGCCCUAGGCUUGUGUUGGAGCCCUGCGGCUGCCGCAGCCUCCUAAAAACAGUGGCGGGCUCGCUAUCACACCGAGUGCAGUAGUUUACUCUUCGCUCAGGGCGUGUGGCGGGUGCUGGCCGUGAAACCCCCUACUUUUUAAGGUUGACCUCGGAUCAGGUAGGAAUACCCGCUGAACUUAAGCAUAUCAAUAAGCGGAGGA